rnacentral:rRNA from 1 species
GACGAACGCUGGCGGCGUGCUUAACACAUGCAAGUCGAACGGAAAGGCCCUGCUUUUGUGGGGUGCUCGAGUGGCGAACGGGUAAGUAACACGUGAGUAACCUGCCCUUGACUUUGGGAUAACUUCAGGAAACUGGGGCUAAUACCGGAUAGGAGCUCCUGCUGCAUGGUGGGGGUUGGAAAGUUUCGGCGGUUGGGGAUGGACUCGCGGCUUAUCAGCUUGUUGGUGGGGUAGUGGCUUACCAAGGCUUUGACGGGUAGCCGGCCUGAGAGGGUGACCGGCCACAUUGGGACUGAGAUACGGCCCAGACUCCUACGGGAGGCAGCAGUGGGGAAUAUUGCGCAAUGGGCGGAAGCCUGAUGCAGCAACGCCGCGUGCGGGAUGACGGCCUUCGGGUUGUAAACCGCUUUCGCCUGUGACGAAGCGUGAGUGACGGUAAUGGGUAAAGAAGCACCGGCUAACUACGUG